AUCACAUAAGAGAAGUAGGUCAAUGGCUUACAACUGCUGGCCAGUGAUUAUUCUUUCACGAGUGCCCGGGGGGGAAACAAAACAAACAAACAAAAACAGGCAAAAGCUACAGGCACAUGAAAGACCUCCACUGAUAGUACUGUGGAAUAUUGGGUUGGAGGGAUUUAAAGUAGAACGUGGGAGACCAGACAGAAGUCUACAGCAAAAGGCCAGGCAAAAACUUGAUGAGAGCCUAGAAUACAGAAGUGGCAAAAAAGAAAACUUCAAAUGUCACAGUACAAAUCCUAUUGUUCACUAUCCUGGGUCCCAUCUCAAGCAACGUGCAUAUUAUAUAUAUUCCCAGCUUCUGGACACAGAACACAGUGAUCCCUCAAUUAGUGGAUACUUGUGAUAUGAAAGAACUGAGGAUUUGGGAGGAGUGCAGAGGAGUAACAUUGGUCACUGGCAGAAAGAGAAGAGGAAGGAGCAGGAAGGGAGCAGAAAGGAAGAACUGAGAAAA
rnacentral:antisense_RNA from 1 species